rnacentral:rRNA from 1 species
UACAGAGGUCUCAAGCGUUGUUCGGAUUCAUUGGGCGUAAAGGGUGCGUAGGCGGCGCGGUAAGUCGGGUGUGAAAUCUUGGAGCUUAACUCCGAAACUGCAUUCGAUACUGCCGUGCUUGAGGACUGGAGAGGAGACUGGAAUUCAUGGUGUGGCAGUGAAAUGCGUAGAGAUCAUGAGGAAGACCAGUGGCGAAGGCGGUCUCUGGACAGUUCCUGACACUGAGACACGAAGGCCAGGGAGCAACGGG